UACAGAGGGGGCAAGCGUUGUCCGGAAUCAUUGGGCGUAAAGAGCGCGUAGGCGGCCAGAUAAGUCCGGUGUGAAAGUCACAGGCUCAACCUGUGAAUGCCGCUGGAAACUGUAUGGCUAGAGUCCGGAAGGGGCGAGUGGAAUUCCUGGUGUAGCGGUGAAAUGCGCAGAUAUCAGGAAGAACACCCGUGGCGAAGGCGGCUCUCUGGGACGGUACUGACGCUGAGACGCGAAAGCGUGGGGAGCGAACAGG
rnacentral:rRNA from 1 species